rnacentral:rRNA from 1 species
AUUGAACGCUGGCGGCAGGCCUAACACAUGCAAGUCGAGCGCGAAGGCUCUUCGGUUUGUGUAAAGCCGCGGACGGGUGAGGAAUGCAUGGGACUCUGACUGGUAGUCUGGGACAACGUCUCGACAGCGACGCUAAUACCGCAUACGCGGUACGGAGGAUAGGGGGGGUUCUUCGGACCUCUCGCUAUCAGUUGAGGCCAUGUCGAAUUAGCUAGUUGGUGGGGUAACGGCCUACCAAGGCGACGAUGUGUAACUGCUCUGAGAGGAUGAUCAGCCACACUGGAACUGAGACACGGUCCAGACUCCUACGGGAGGCAGCAGUGGGGAAUAUUCGACAAUGGGCGAAAGCCUGACCCAGCAACGCCGCGUGUGUGAAGAAGGUCUUAGGGUUGUAAAGCUCUGUCAGUGGGGAGAAAGGCAGUUUAAUGAAUCCGUGGACAGAUUGACGUUACCCAAAGAAGAAGCACCGGCUAACUACGUG